rnacentral:rRNA from 1 species
CCUACGGGAGGCAGCAGUGGGGAAUAUUGCACAAUGGGGGAAACCCUGAUGCAGCGACGCCGCGUGAGUGAAGAAGUAAUUCGUUAUGUAAAGCUCUAUCAGCAGGGAAGAAAAUGACGGUACCUGAGUAAGAAGCACCGGAUAACUACGUGCCAGCAGCCGCGGUAAUACGUAGGGGGCAAGCGUUAUCCGGAUUUACGGGGUGUAAAGGGAGCGUAGACGGCAGUGCAAGUAUGGAGUGAAAGGCGGGGGCUCAACCCCCGGACUGCUCUGGAAACUGUACGGCUGGAGUGCGGGAGAGGUAAGUGGAAUUCCUAGUGUAGGGGUGAAAUGCGUAGAUAUUAGGAGGAACACCAGUGGCGAAGGCGGCUGACUGGACUGUAACUGACGUUGAGGCUCGAAAGCGUGGGGAGCAAACAGGAUUAGAUACCCCAGUAGUC